rnacentral:tRNA from 1 species
GGCACGGUGGUGCAGUGGGUAGCACUGUCACCUCACAGCAAGAAGGUCCUGGGUUCGAAUCUCAGCUUGGGGCCU